UAAUUUAGUAAAAACCGCAUUUUGAUAUCACGUCUCUAACUAAAGUUACAAAAAAAAAUGUGUUCAUUAGAAAGUGAAAACAUCAAAUAUGGUCGUUAAGUUCUAUUUACCAGCCGGGUUAAAACAACUGGUGUCUAAAUUAAACUGAGUUUUGUGUAGAGAAGCAAUCUUGGUAUACCAGCUUUUUAGAAAUUCCGGAAGGUGGCGUUUAUUUAUACACUGCUUUAUAAAGGAGUUUCAGCGGGAAUAAAUUUAUUCAGUAUGGGAAAACUAUGCAUAGGAACGUUUUAAAUUUUUGGACAACGUAGCAACAAAUAAUACCACAUGAUGUGCUAAAAUAAGUUAAAAGAAUAAUAUUGAAAAAAAUACAGCAACAUAUUAGUUGUGUUCAUAAAGAAACUAAAAAUUAAAGUUUAUAUAAGUCUAUCGGUUAGCAGUUUAUUCGAGUAUAAAUAAAUAGGUAAUGAAAUUAUGCCAAUUUUAAUAAUAAGUUGGCUUUGCAUUUGUUUAAAAAACAAAAAGGCCGGUGACAACUCUGUGACAGCUGCUUAAAAGUUUUCGGUGGUCCUAUAAAUUUAGUUAUUUAUUUCGAUCAGAGUUUAUUCUUUGACUUUAAUUUAAAUUUAAAUUUAAAUGCGUCUGUCUUUGCAAGAGUCGGUAAAUUUUUUAUGAAUGUUUUGUAAAUGCUACUAUAGCUGCAAGGCUGUAUGCUCAACGUUUUCCUCAAAACCGGCGUCUGAGUAGAGGCAUAUUUCUUCGUUUGGCCCGUGGUUUUCGGACAACAGGUAGUGUAGUCUAUCCAACCUAUCGUAGACAAGGUCGCAAGAGAACGGAGGAAAAUAUAAUAAAUUGUUUGGCCUAUGUAGAAUUUGAUCCGCACUUAAGCAUCAGAACUAUUUCAGGCGAUUUAGGCAUACCUCGUUCUGUAGUUCACAGAAUUUUAAAGGAACACAGAUUUCAUCCAAUCCAUAUAGUACUCCACCAGGUAUUAAAUCUAGAAGACUAUGACAGAAGACUAGAUUAUUGUCAUUGGAUGGAUAUUCUCCAUCAGUUGCUCGAAAAUCCAAAUUUUCUCAACGAAAUUUUAUGGACAGACGGAGUGACGUUCAAUAGUGACGGAAGAGUUAACAGACAUAAAAUGCACUAUUGGUCUGAAACUUCGUUGGAUGCGCGAGAUCCAGCAUCAGGGAAGGUAGAGUGUUAAUGUCUGGUGCGGUGUAAUAGGAUCUCAGGUUACAGGUCCAUUUUUAUUUGAUGAGAGCCUAACUGGAGAACAAUAUCUUGGAUUUUUAAGAAAUGAGCUCCCAGCAUUAUUAGAAGAGGUGCCUCUGGUGAUAAGAGCCAACAUGUUUUUACAACAUGACGGAUGCCCGGCUCAUUUCGCGGUACAAGUGCGAACGUUCCUUAAUCAGCGGUACCCUGAUCGGUAGAUUGGCAGAGGUAGCUUUUUCCCUUGGCCGGCAAGAUCGCCAGAUUUAACCUGCCUUGACUUUUAUUUAUGGGGUAGAAUAAAAGCCAUUGUAUUUUCUUCGAUUCCUACCAAUAGACAGCGAAUAAGGGGCGCUAUUCGGAGUUUACCUGCCGCAGAAAUAGAGACAACCGUGGAAUCAACCCGACGAAGAGUUCAAAAUUGUAUAGAACAAGACGGACGACAAUUCGAACACCUCGGCAGGCAUUAGUUUAGUGUAGGAAUUAAAAUAAUAUUAUUUUUUAUUCCAUUUAAAAUAAGCAAGAUUUUUAUCUUUUUUCAGUUUAAUCGGUACCAAGUGCCAAAACUAUCAAAAUAUUUUUGUCGUGUUACAAUGACGCGUCGACGUUGAUAAAUAUUUAAAAUGUUCUCUUUUUAAAAUAUAUUAAAAUGUUUAUA
rnacentral:lncRNA from 1 species